rnacentral:rRNA from 1 species
GACGAACCGUGCGAACGUUGUUCGGAAUUACUGGGCGUAAAGGGCUCGUAGGCGGCCAACUAAGUCGGACGUGAAAUCCCUCAGCUUAACUGGGGAACUGCGUCCGAUACUGGAUGGCUCGAGUUUGGGAGAGGGAUGCGGAAUUCCAGGUGUAGCGGUGAAAUGCGUAGAUAUCUGGAGGAACACCGGUGGCGAAGGCGGCAUCCUGGACCAACACUGACACUGAGGAGCGAAAGCCAGGGGAGCAAACGGG